rnacentral:rRNA from 1 species
ACAAGCGGUGGAGCAUGUGGUUUAAUUCGAUGCAACGCGAAGAACCUUACCUACUCUUGACAUCCAGAGAACUUAGCAGAGAUGCGUUUGGUGCCUUCGGGAACUCUGAGACAGGUGGUGCAUGGUGUCGUCAGCUCGUGUCGUGAGAUGUUGGGUUAAGUCCCGCAACGAGCGCAACCUUGUGUUUAGUUGCAAACAGGUCAAGCUGUGCACUCUAGACAGACUGCCGUGGACAACACGGAGGAAGGUGGGGGAUGACGUCAAGUCAUCAUGGCCCUUACGGCCUGGGCUACACACGUGCUACAAUGGUCGGUACAAAGGGUUGCCAAGCCGCGAGGUGGAGCUAAUCCCAUAAAACCGAUCGUAGUCCGGAUCGCAGUCUGCAACUCGACUGCGUGAAGUCGGAAUCGCUAGUAAUCGUGAAUCAGAAUGUCACGGUGAAUACGUUCCCGGGCCUU